AUUCUGUCAAUAUAUAAAGAGGAUUCUGAAAUUUCAUUCUAUACAGAUAAAGAGGAGGGUAUCAUAUUGGACUUACAUAUAGCUGAUACUUUUGUGACUGAUCAUCAAAAUGAAGGAUUUGUUAAUUUGCUUACUUUUUCUGAUUAUUGUUGAAGUAAUAUCAGCCUAUUACGUGCCCUCCUGGUAUGGUGGUAACCCCUGGCAGCAACAGAGAGGAUAUUUUCCAGGGUUUAACCCACGGGCAUACUUCUUGAAGGAGUUUUAUGAUGAAGUUUUCGACUAAUUACAAUAUAAGUCAGGUUGCCAUCUUGGAUUGAAACAUGUUGCCUUUUACAAGUUGUUCAUAGUGUCCCGAUUAUAUUUAUAUAAAUGAAAUAAAUAAAUUUUGUUUUUUGUU